rnacentral:rRNA from 1 species
GAUGAACGCUGGCGGCGUGCCUAAUACAUGCAAGUCGAGCGAAUGGAUUAAGAGCUUGCUCUUAUGAAGUUAGCGGCGGACGGGUGAGUAACACGUGGGUAACCUGCCCAUAAGACUGGGAUAACUCCGGGAAACCGGGGCUAAUACCGGAUAACAUUUUGAACCGCAUAGUUCGAAAUUGAAAGGCGGCUUCGGCUGUCACUUAUGGAUGGACCCGCGUCGCAUUAGCUAGUUGGUGAGGUAACGGUUCACCAAGGCAACGAUGCGUAGCCGACCGGAGAGGGUGAUCGGCCACACUGGGACUGAGACACGGCCCAGACUCCUACGGGAGGCAGCAGUAGGGAAUCUUCCGCAAUGGACGAAAGUCUGACGGAGCAACGCCGCGUGAGUGAUGAAGGCUUUCGGGUCGUAAAACUCUGUUGUUAGGGAAGAACAAGUGCUAGUUGAAUAAGCUGGCACCUUGACGGUACCUAACCAGAAAGCCACGGCUAACUACGUGCCAGCAGCCGCCGUAA